AUUGGCCUUUAUUGAAUUUCAGACAGUUCUCUGCUCGCCUCUCCAACGUCUCAAGGUCCUUCUGAUGGGCUGCACAGCCCUCUGGGGUAUUGAUCACUCCUCCC